UGGGCUAGAAUGCGAGUGACGUCCUGUGAAAGCAGGAUUCCCUUCGGGGCACAAAGCAAGGUGCUGCAUGGCUGUCGUCAGCUCGUGCCGUGAGGUGUUGGGUUAAGUCCCGCAACGAGCGCAACCCUUGUCCUUAGUUGCCAUCAUUAAGUUGGGAACUCUAAGGAGACCGCCGGUGACAAACCGGAGGAAGGUGGGGAUGACGUUG
rnacentral:misc_RNA from 1 species